rnacentral:misc_RNA from 1 species
GAUGAAGAACGCAGCGAAACGCGAUACGUAAUGUGAAUUGCAGAAUUCAGUGAAUCAUCGAAUCUUUGAACGCACCUUGCGCCCCUCGGCAUUCCGAGGGGCAUGCCUGUUUGAGUGUCACGGAUCCUUCGAACCCCGCCGGUCUCCGACGAGCCGGCCGCCUGGGUUCGGUCCUGGGCGCUACGCCACCCCUCCGGGGCUGGCCCGCCUCAAAAGCAUCAGCUGGGCCUCGCGGCGUGGGCGGGCUCCGAUCGGCGUGAUAAGUCAUCUGCCGAGAGGGUGCCCGUCCGUCCCGCGGAUCGCGGUCCGCUCCCAACCCCUCCCCGCGCGCCGUCCCCCCCCCCGGGGAGCGCGCGGGGACGUUUCGACGCUCUGGCCUCAAAUCAGGUAGGACCACCCGCUGAACUUAAGCAUAUCAAUAAGCGGAGGA